CUACGGGUGGCUGCAGUGAGGAAUUUUGCGCAAUGGGGGCAACCCUGACGCAGCAACGCCGCGUGAGUGAAGAAGGCCUUUGGGUCGUAAAGCUCUGUCAACAGGGAAGAAGUUACUAUGUAUUAAUAGUAUGUAGUAUUGACGGUACCUGUGGAGGAAGCAUCGGCUAACUCCGUGCCAGCAGCCGCGGUAAUACGGGGGAUGCAAGCGUUAUUCGGAAGCAUUGGGCGUAAAGGGCACGCAGGCGGCUCUGUCAGUCAGAUGUGAAAGCCCGGGGCUCAACCCCGGACGUGCAUUUGAAACAGCAGGGCUUGAGUACGGUAGAGGAAAGCGGAAUUCCUGGUGUAGAGGUGAAAUUCGUAGAUAUCAGGAGGAACACCGGUGGCGAAGGCGGCUUUCUGGACCGAAACUGACGCUGAGGUGCGAAGGCGUGGGUAGCGAACAGGAUUAGAUACCCGCGUAGUC
rnacentral:rRNA from 1 species